GGUCGACGAUUAACGCGAAGAACCUUACCUAGACUUGACAUCUCCUGAAUUACCCGUAAUGGGGGAAGCUCUUCGGAGCAGGAAGACAGGUGGUGCAUGGUUGUCGUCAGCUCGUGUCGUGAGAUGUUGGGUUAAGUCCCGCAACGAGCGCAACCCUUGCCUUUAGUUGCCAGCAUUAAGUUGGGCACUCUAGAGGGACUGCCAGGGAUAACCUGGAGGAAGGUGGGGAUGACGUCAAAUCAUCAUGCCCCUUAUGCUUAGGGCUACACACGUGCUACAAUGGGUGGUACAGAGGGCAGCCAAGUCGUGAGGCGGAGCUAAUCCCUUAAAGCCAUUCUCAGUUCGGAUUGUAGGCUGAAACUCGCCUACAUGAAGCUGGAGUUACUAGUAAUCGCAGAUCAGAAUGCUGCGGUGAAUGCGUUCCCGGGUCUUGUACACACCG
rnacentral:rRNA from 1 species